UACGGAGGGUGCAAGCGUUAAUCGGAAUUACUGGGCGUAAAGCGCACGUAGGCGGUUUGAUAAGCCAGCCGUGAAAGCCCCGGGCUCAACCUGGGAAUUGCGGUUGGAACUGUCAGGCUGGAGUACAGUAGAGGGGUGUGGAAUUUCAGGUGUAGCGGUGAAAUGCGUAGAUAUCUGAAGGAACAUCAGUGGCGAAGGCGACACCCUGGACUGAUACUGACGCUGAGGUGCGAAAGCGUGGGGAGCAAACAGG
rnacentral:rRNA from 1 species